GCCUGGGUGGCUCAGUGGGUUGAGUGUCUGACUUCGGCUCAGGUCAUGAUCUCGCGGUCUGUGAGUUCGAGCCCCGCGUCGGGUA
rnacentral:tRNA from 1 species